AGAAAAUGUCAAAAUUGUGACGGAAUAUUUGAGACAGAGCAGUUCUGUCACAAAUUGUGACAGAAUUGUGAUGGAUCAACCUUUCAUACAUAAAAAAACUUCAAAAAACUUUUUUUUCCCAUAAAAAUUUUGAGGGUAACGGAUUUGUGACAAAUUUUAAAUAUGAUUUUUGUGACGGACAUAUUUUCGCCACAAAUUAAGGCUGAUAAGAAAAAAUGACAAUUAUUUGUCACAAAUCCGUGACAAAAAUUGUGACGGAUUGAAUAUUCCGUCACAAAUAUAAUAACAAGACAAUUAAUAAUAAAUAUAUAAAUUUGUGACAGAUUUGUUUCCCUGGCAACAACAAAAUUAGGCAACUUCUUAAUUUUGCCCCCAAAAUUUUUCACUACUUUUUAGUUUCCCACCAAAAUUUGACCCCAUUACAUUUCAACCAAAUAGCUUCACUUCCCCCAAAAUUAGACCCCAUUACAUUUCAGCAAAAUAGCUUCACUUCCCCCCCCAUUACAUUUUACCAAAGUACCUUUACUUUCCCCAAAAUUAGACCCUUCUAAGCUUCGACUCCGUUAAUUUCUCGAUGAUUUCAGCAAAGUAGCAAGCCGUUCACUUCGACUCCGUUGUCAUCUUCACUAAGAGAAAAGUUCAACAACCUCCAUUUUCAAUCAAGGAUCAAGAGGAGAAGGCAAAGAGGAGUUCGUUCUUCAAGGUUUGCAUUUUAUAGAGCUUCUUACUUCUUUUUGCUGAUUUGUUGGACUCGAUGAAGAGACUUUGGCGUGAUCACUCAUGUAAGUAUUUGGCAGCACUUUCCGGGUAACUAAUAUUCAUCAUAGAAUCAAGUAAGUUUAGGAUAACUAGAAUUCUUGAAACUUCACUGAAGAGUUUUUUUUAGUUAUUUUGCUUUUCAUUUUCUUAUAUUCAAAGUACAAUUGUUUCAUUGUUGAUACAGGUGGAUCUGUUGGAGUACAUUAGUUUAUUUGAAUUUGUUAAGUUUAGAGCAUGAAGAGAACAAUGCAAACUAAGAUAGUUAAUUAGUCUAGCUUACCUACUUUAGCAGAUGUUCUUGGUACUGGAAUGGUAGUUAUGCCAUCCAAUUGUUAUAUGAAAUGACUCAAAGAAAUUUGGAUGUGCUGAAGUCUGAGUAGCCUUAACUCAUGGAACUCCCCCAGUAUAUGAAGGGGUGUGUGUGAGCCCAAAUGAUUGUUUGUUCAUGUCAAGGGGUGUUCAUUUUUAGUGUUAUUAGUUAGAAAUACAUCUGAAUGAUGUUUUGAGAAUAAGAAAUACAUCAAUCACAUUUUUAAACUAAAAAAAAGAAAAGAAAUUGUUUUACAUGGAGAUUAAUAUACAAGUUCAGAAUGAAAAUUGAUCACUUUUCCAUAUCCUUUUAAGGCUUUCAGUUAGGUGUUUCAGUUAAUAGUAAUGAGAGCUGUGUAGUUCUAAUUGUUUCUGGUGAAAGAAAAAAAGGUACUUUAUAUGUAGUAAAGAUUAUUUUUUGAGAAUACUAGUUAAAAGUUUUUAAGUUAAAAGAUUGUUAUGACUUUGUUGACAAGGCUGAGCGGUUGGAUCCCAACUCUAUAUCUUCAUAGGUGGUUUCUCUAAUUUGGCUAAGAUAAUUUUUGUUGGUAGCCAGCUUUGAAUACCUUUCCUCUUUUUUUUUUUUGGCUAAGAUAAUAUAAGCUAAACAGAUUUUGGAUGAAAUAGUAUUAGAAUCUUUUGGUGGCUCUUCAUCAACCUUUUGUCUGAUGUGGAGGGACUUUGGCGUGAUCAUUCAUGUAAGUAUUUGCCCAAUGUGCAUGAAAAUAGUAAAUCAGUGUAGCAGAUAAUGCCUAUCAAGAUUUAGGAUUCUUUGCUAACUCUGUUGGUAUUUUUGUUAUUGCUUAUCAUUAUGCAAUGGAUCAUUCUAAGUACUUAGACAACUAGCUGAUGCCAAGCAUCCAGUGAGAACUUUUAAGCUGCUAUAACUUGUGCGAUCAGUUUAUACAAGACGCCUCAGCAUUAUACUCACUAAGGGGAAUGAUAUGUCCAUAUAUAUUUGAGCGUUAGAGUUAUAAAUUUUUUAAUUUGCUCGUACACUUCACGCUCUUGGUGCCUUUUUCUUGUGCCUUUCAUUUGUGAUUUUCUGGGUAACUAAUAUUCACCAUAGAAUCAUGUAAGUUCAGGAUAACUAGAAUUCUGGAGACUUCAUUUGUGCCAGGGUCAUGUUUAGCAUGCUAUUCUUAUUCUUGAUAUUAUCAUUCAUGCUAUUCUUAUUCUGUUAGAAGAUAAGAAAAAUAUACAUAUCAUAUUUCUGCAAUCUGAAUGGGAUAAACUAAAUUAGCCACUCAUUUUGUUUCAGUUUGUGACCAAUACACCUUUGUGGCUUAAAAAAUCAUACACUCCAUGUCUAACUGCUAAAAUUUUAGAAAUUGAGUGCUUUUGUUCUGUUCCUGUUCUUUAAUUUUUUUUACCAGAGUCCUUUUUUGCUCUGUUCUGAUUCAUCUAUUUUUUAACUAGAUUUCUUGAUGGUUUUUUUAAGAAAGGUCAAAAGGAGAGUUGAAUUUUGUCCUUCCUCUGUUAGAUGGGGCAUGCAUCGUUGACUUGAUAGACAUUAAGCACUUAACUGGUCAUAUUCAUAAUUCUCCUUAAUGUUCCGCAGCCUGAAAAUCAUGGUUUAGGUCUGGAACAUGCAUCAUUGACUUUAUAGACAUUUAAUAGUUUACUGAUCAUAUCCGUAUUUCUCAUUGUCAAUGACUAUAGAGAUAGCAAAGUGUUACAUGUGCCUUUUGCUAUGUAGAGUGCAUUUCUUUUGAUUAUGAGAGGGCGAUUAUAUCUUUUGACUAAGUCCAAAUGGUUUCAUCAAAUUAAUUGAUUGAUCCGUUUUUGUAUUUCUGGGUGUCGUGUCUUGUAUCUCUGCUAGUAGGAUUGUAGUAAAGUUGUUUGAUUUGUUAUGCUAGUGGAGCGUAAUAUAACUAAUGGAAAAUUGCCUUUGAAGGCAAUAAAUAUAAUCACCUUCCUACAUUUUUAUUAAUUUGAGAAGUGAAAAAGUUUACUUUUUAAUUUAUUGACAUGUCACAUAGUUAUUGCAUGUUUCGUGACGAUGUAUCGUGUGGUUGGAUAUUCUCAUAGGGAAUAAAAUUGCAUGACUUUGGUAAGAAUCUUGGUGAGCUAUUUUAGCCGAAAGUCUAAUCGUUUCUAUUGACAGGGUAUAACAAGGUUUCUCUUAACACUAAUUCCACAUUAAUAGAAAAGUACUUGAUGCCCUCCCUCUCUUUUCUCUGAGGUGGUGCUGAUCUUAUAAUUAUAAGCAAGUGUUUGAGAUACAAUUGUCCUCUACUUUCUGGUGAUUGAUUAAAUUUCUCAAGAUUAGUAAUCUGUUCGACUUUUCAAUUGUGGUUCACUGGUCUGAGAUAGUUAUG